GCAGACUUCCAGUUCUUCCACAUACCUGUCAGCACUUGGGCAAGGCUGGAGGUGAAAAGGGCAGCAGUUAUAGGAGAAACAGCGAAGAUUCCUAAUGCUGCCUCUAAAGAAUAUUGAGGAUUGUCAUAGACUGGCUGCACAGACAGACAAUGACAAAAAAAAGAGAAAGAGUUCUAAAGACACCAGCAUCUUCAUACCACCCUUUUCACACACACAUGGGUGCAUUUUUUUAUCCUCAAGAGUAAAAUGAUACAUUAGAACACCUUCUUCCAUUACUUUUACUCUUUCUGGAGGACAUAUGGCAGGGUUCUAUGAGGAUUUCUACAGACCUGUCAACCCAACGGUCCAACACUCAACAUAAUUGUUACAAUUCCUACAGAUGCCCACGCUCCUGGUCUGCCACACCAAUGUUUCCCAAAGUCUUCUCCAAGGAACACCAGUCCUGAGAGAUGUUCAGAGCCACCCCUGAAAACCUUCAUGGUAAAAAAAUUUGGAGAAAAAAUCUGCAAAACUCCUUGUAGAUUGUCCAUGUACAUCAGCAAAUUAAAGGCUCUGAGAAGUCCCACAACAAAUAAAUCUUUUUAUUAACAAUU